UAGACCGCCUGGGGAGUACGGCCGCAAGGUUAAAACUCAAAUGAAUUGACGGGGGCCCGCACAAGCGGUGGAGCAUGUGGUUUAAUUCGAUGCAACGCGAAGAACCUUACCUGGUCUUGACAUCCACAGAAGAAUCCAGAGAUGGAUUUGUGCCUUCGGGAACUGUGAGACAGGUGCUGCAUGGCUGUCGUCAGCUCGUGUUGUGAAAUGUUGGGUUAAGUCCCGCAACGAGCGCAACCCUUAUCCUUUG
rnacentral:rRNA from 1 species